rnacentral:rRNA from 1 species
UACGGAGGGGGCUAGCGUUGUUCGGAAUUACGGGGCGUAAAGCGCCCGUAGGCGGCUUUGUAAGUUAGAGGUGAAAGCCCGGGGCUCAACCCCGGAAUUGCCUUUAAGACUGCAUCGCUAGAAUUGUGGAGAGGUAAGUGGAAUUCCGAGUGUAGAGGUGAAAUUCGUAGAUAUUCGGAAGAACACCAGUGGCGAAGGCGACUUACUGGACACAUAUUGACGCUGAGGUGCGAAAGCGUGGGGAGCAAACAGG